rnacentral:rRNA from 1 species
AAGCACGUAGGUGGGUUUGUAAGUCAGAUGUGAAAGCCAUCUGUUCAACGGAAGAAUUGCAUCUGAAACUGCGAGUCUUGAGUGUAGGAGGGGAGAAUGGAACUUCUGGUGGAGCGGUGUAAUGCGUAGAUAUCAGAAGGAACGCCGGCGGCGAAAGCGAUUCUCUGGCCUAUUACUGACACUCAGUGUGCGAAAGCUAGGGGAGCAAACGGGAUUAGAUACCCCGGUAGUCCCAGCCGUAAACGAUGGGCACUAAGUAGAGGGG